rnacentral:lncRNA from 1 species
CCGGGCUUGCUCCUUUAUGAGGCAUUCAAUCAAUAAAAAGAGAGCAGAACUCUGUCAGAUUUAUUGGCUGGGUUCAAACCGAACACCUCUUCUACCCGCCAAAGGCUGGGUCACCAGCACUACCUCUCCUUUCCAACUCUGGACAGCCCUCAUUUUCCCCUAUGGGGUUCAUGCUGGGCACUGUCAGGCUCCCAGAGGCCCUAGAAGAGGCAGUGCCAUGGGAAAGCACAGCAGGCAUGGAACAAAUGCUUGUACACCACCCAGCUGAUGGCUCUGAGCCUGUCUUGGUGGCUUUGGUCCCCUCAACACUUGGGUCAGCCCCCAGCCCUC